CUCCCCUCGCGCCGCUUCGCUCUCUCCCGAACACAACCGCCGCCAUGCGCCGCUCGAUCCCGCGGCCACCGGCGCCCCUACGCCCGAGAACCUUGCCUGGGAGGCGUGCCGGCCGUCGCCUCUUCUUCCUCAACCAUUGGUUAAAGCCGGGGCGAUCUACAGCGAAGGAAUCGGGUCCUUCUUCGUCCUCGGCCGCGGCUUCUUCCCCGACGAACCCCGGCGCCGUCGGUCCUCCUCGAGCCCGCUGCCCUCCCCUACUGAACCACAGUGAGCACACGCUCCCCCUCGUCCCGUUGACUUCGAUCCCCGAGCCCCCUAGCCUCUUCUCCGCCGCAACCGUAGCUCGCCUCGCCGCUGCGGCCACUGCUCGCGAAGCUUGUAUCCGUGCACGUAGUCGAGCUCGUGGAGCUCCCAGGCCCCGAACGCGCACGCCUGCUCCUCCCCUCUUGACCUCUGUGCUCGAUCCCGAGCAUCACGUGCUCCGGCCGCCGUCGCGGGUUCGUUUCUGACGAGCUUAGGCCACCCCGCCUCUGGUUCUUGCUCCCUCACAUGUGCGCCAUCACCAGCACUCGGACGAGCCCUCCCGCGCCUCUUUUGGCUGCCGGAGUGGCGUUUCCGACCAUUACUGCCGCGCACUGCUCCCCGCACGUCCUUGCCCUCGCGCCUUGCGUCGCGCUCAUCCCCUGGCCGCCUUGGCCGGAGCCAGCCCUGUCCGCGCGCGCCUGGCGCCCGUCCGCGUAUGCGUUCCGCCGCGCCCGCUGCUCCCUGCCGCCUCCAUCCCGGAGCUCGUCCAUGGCCGCGUCGUGAUACAUGUGCGCCUGCUCGGCUACUGCUUUGUCGCUGUUGUCGCUUUGCUGCACUGCUGCUAGUUACUCCCGCCACUGCCUGCUGAUGCUGCUGCUACUUCUUCUGCUGCUGCUCCCCUCGCAUGCGCACGCCCGCAGCCGCCGUCGCUGCUUACUGCUGCCCUGUGCUGCGUACUGCUGCUGCUGCUCAUGCGCUGCUGUUGCUCAUGCCGCUGCUAUGCUACUACUGCUGCUAGCUGCUGCUGGUGCUUGGCCAUGGCCGCGAGCGCCCCAUGUGUGUGCUUGUGCGUGAGCACAGCCACACAAUGGAUGGCUAGUGCCAUUGCUAUAUGGGGGUGGGCCUAAUUAGAUUAGGAUCUAAUUGCUGUUAAUGCCAUCCUCCUACUAAUAGUCACUGACGUUGGGCCCUGCUGCCUAAAGAAAACAAUUAAAAUCAUCUAAAUUGAAGUAAGUUAAAGUAUAGGCAAUGACAACCCACUAGCACUGUUCAUAUGUUGACUGGUCAACCAUUGACUGGGUCAACACAACCCCAUUGGCCCCACUCUCAUACAGACAGGCUAGAGUAUCACUAGGUGACAAAAGUUUAUUCUGUUUUUAAUUCAGAUUUACAUAUUCCAGAAUUUUUGAAAAUGCAUUAAACUUUGAAAAUUCAUAAAAUAAACCGUAGCUCAGAUGAAAAUGUUUUCUACAUGAAAGUUGCUCAGAACGACGAGACGAAUCCGGAUACGCAACCCGUUCGUCCACCACACAUCCCUAGCAUAGAAAACACGCAACUUUCCCCCUUCGGUUCGUUUGUCCGAAAAUGCCUAACUUCGGGAAAGCAUUCCCGGAUGUUACCCCCCUUCGUCGGUAGCGUGUAGCACCGCGUUAGAACACGUCUAGCUUUGCCUGUUGUCCUGUUAUGCACUUGCUUGCUCUGUAUUUACUGUUUCUUCCCCCUCUUCUCUCCGGUAGACCCCGAGGCCGUUGCUGAGGGCCCGGUGAUCGACUACGUCGACGACGACCCCUCCUUUCCAGAGCAACCAGGCAAGCCCCCCCUUUGAUCAUUCCGAUAUCGCCCAUUCCAUUCUCUCAUGCUUGCAUUAGAUUUUGCUACUGUUAUUGUUUGCUCCUAUUCUGAUGCAUAGCCUGCUUUUGUAACCUGCUUAUUGUUACCUACCUGCUUAUCCUAACUGCUUAGUAUAGGUUGGUUAGUGAUCCAUCAGUGACCCCCACCUUGUCCUUGUUGCCCCUGCUUCAUCAUCGAAGACCCGAUCAACGGGAUCGAAGACCAGGCCCCGGCACCGCACAUCACUUUCCCCUUAGUUGCUCGACACUACUGGGUUACCAUCGAGUGCCGAGGGUAAGACCUCAUUAGCACUUCUGAUGUUAACCUUGUAGUGUAGCUAUUCGGUCGUGGUCAUCGAGGGUGAUUUCCUCCUUAACCACUUCCAACACGGCUCUGUCGUGCAACCCCUCAAGUGUGAACCUCGAGGGUGGAUCCUCUUAUGUUCACCUUGAUGAUUACAUCGAGUGGAAUUCACCGGGGGUGAUUCCUCGGGUUUUCCCCUUGAUGUUUGGACACACGGAUACUUGGACUUUACAACUGUUACUUGGAAAGGCGGGUCGACCCUGAGGGGUACCCGCGAGUGAUGUGGAGACGGGUUGACCUAGAGGGUGCCCGUGAGAUAAUUACGAGGCGUGGCCGGGCAUUCCUAGCCCUUGCCGCAAGUCCUCUAGACGGGGCGACGGGGUCACAUCUUUCGUGAAUCUCUGCUUGUUACCGCACGUUCCUAAUCCACUACGAUUUGGAUAUUUGAUGCGAGGGGCCUCUGGCCUGAUAGCACUAACCAUCACGUGGGCAUAGUAUGGGCGUUCUGCGUCGUAUACAUCAGCCAAAGCUUAAUAGACGUCAGCGACUGAGCGGCGCGCGCCGGGUUGGACUGGUAAGCUCCUGCCUUUUUAAGGAGGUAGCUAGGUCUGCUCACCGGCCGCCCAUGCAACGUGCAGGAGUUCCCGGGGCGAUGGCCCAUGACCCUGGGGGCAUAGGUUUAGUCCGGCGUGCUGACCUCUCUAUUAAGCCUAGGUCGGGUUGCGGCGUAUUGUUUGGCCGAGGCCGGGCAUGACCCAGAAAAGUGUGUCCGGCCGGAGUUAAUCGAGCGUGGUGGGUAAGUUGGUGCACCCCUGCAGGGAAGAAAACAUCUAUCGAUAGCCUGUCCUACGGUAACGGACACUUGGAGUUGUAUCCCGAUCGAUACAACUAGAACUGGAUACUUGUGAUGAGAAUUGGAUUGUGAUGAGAAAUGGAUAGUAUGGCUCUGGGAUUGCUUUCUCGCAGGAAGUCGAGAAAGGAUCUCUGGCCGAGGUUGAUAACACUACUACUACUUUACUUUAUGCUACUCUACUCCCUCCUGUUGCUGCAAGAUGGUGGUUUCCAGAAGAUGCUAGUCUUCGAUAGGCUAGGCUUUCCCCUUCUCUUCUGGCAUUCUGCAGUCCAGUCCACAGAUACAGCCCAUUUCAUUGAUACCGAUGCAUAUGUAGUGUAGUUCCUUAAUUGCGAGUACUUUGGAUGAGUACUCACGGUUGCUUUGCUCCCCCUUUUCCCCCUUUCUUCUUCUUUCCGGUUGAUGCAACCAGAUGUCGGAGCCCAGGAGCCAGAUGCCACCGCGAUGCUUACUACUACGUGGAGGCCGCCGACGACUAGGAGUAGUUAGGAGGCUCCCAGGCAGGAGGCCUUGCCUUUUCGAUCGAUGUUGCUUUUGUGCUAGCCUUCUUAAGGCAAACUUGUCUAACUUAUGUCUCUACUCAGAUAUUGUUGCUUCCGUUGACUCUUAUGUUUUCGAGCUUAUGUAUUCGAGCCCUCGAGGCCCCUGGCUUGUAAUAUAAAGCUUGUAUUAUUUCAAUUUGUGUCUAGAGUUGUGUUGUGAUAUCUUCCCGUGAGUCCUUGAUCUUGAUCGUACACAUUUGCGUGUAUGAUUAGUGUACGAUUGAAUCGAGGGCGUCACAAACACCUUAAAAGGACCAUCAACACGUGGCAUUAGCUU
rnacentral:lncRNA from 1 species